rnacentral:sRNA from 1 species
UUGUGGAAGAUGGCGCCUGUUGUGACAGGGAAAUUUGGUGAGCGGCCUCCACCUAAACGACUUACUAGGGAAGCUAUGCGAAAUUAUUUAAAAGAGCGAGGGGAUCAAACAGUACUUAUUCUUCAUGCAAAAGUUGCACAGAAGUCAUAUGGAAAUGAAAAAAGAGUGACCUGGAACUGGGCCCACUAACUUGGCUGUGACCUUUAUAUCCUUGGCCUCAGUGUUUUUUUGCCCACCUCCUUGUGUAUAUCUUAUGGGCAGUGGAUGGAAGAAAAAAAAAGAACAAAUGGAACGCGAUGGUUGUUCUGAACAAGAGUCUCAACCGUGUGCAUUUAUUGGGAUAGGAAAUAGUGACCAAGAAAUGCAGCAGCUAAACUUGGAAGGAAAG